rnacentral:rRNA from 1 species
GACGAACGCUGGCGGCGUGCUUAACACAUGCAAGUCGAACGAAGAGCGAUGGACGCUUGCUUCUAUCAAUCUUAGUGGCGAACGGGUGAGUAACGCGUAAUCAACCUGCCCUUCAGAGGGGGACAACAGUUGGAAACGACUGCUAAUACCGCAUACGAUCUGACCUCGGCAUCGAGGAUAGAUGAAAGGUGGCCUCUAUUUAUAAGCUAUCACUGAAGGAGGGGAUUGCGUCUGAUUAGCUAGUUGGAGGGGUAACGGCCCACCAAGGCGAUGAUCAGUAGCCGGUCUGAGAGGAUGAACGGCCACAUUGGGACUGAGACACGGCCCAGACUCCUACGGGAGGCAGCAGUGGGGAAUCGUCCGCAAUGGACGAAAGUCUGACGGAGAAACGCCGCGUGAGUGAUGACGGCCUUCGGGUUGGAAAGCUCUGUUAAUCGGGACGAAAGGCCUUCUUGCGAAUAGUUAGAAGGAUUGACGGUACCGGAAUAGAAAGCCACGGCUAACUACGUG